rnacentral:rRNA from 1 species
GGUUAAGCGACUAAGCGUACACGGUGGAUGCCCUGGCAGUCAGAGGCGAUGAAGGACGUGCUAAUCUGCGAAAAGCGCCGGCGAGGUGAUAUGAACCUUUGACCCGGCGAUGUCCGAAUGGGGAAACCCAGUGCAAUCCGUUGCACUAUCGUUAACUGAAUACAUAGGUUAACGAGGCGAACCGGGGGAACUGAAACAUCUAAGUACCCCGAGGAAAAGAAAUCAACCGAGAUUCCCCCAGUAGCGGCGAGCGAACGGGGAGCAGCCCGGAGUCUGAAUCAGCUUGUGUGUUAGUGGAACGGUCUGGAAAGUCCGACGGUACAGGGUGAUAGUCCCGUACACGAAAGCACACAUUGCUGUGAACUCGAAGAGUAGGGCGGGACACGUGGUAUCCUGUCUGAAUAUGGGGGGACCAUCCUCCAAGGCUAAAUACUCCUGACUGACCGAUAGUGAACCAGUACCGUGAGGGAAAGGCGAAAAGAACCCCCGAGGGGAGUGAAAAAGAACCUGAAACCGUGUACGUACAAGCAGUGGGAGCCUCUUUAUGGGGUGACUGCGUACCUUUUGUAUAAUGGGUCAGCGACUUAUAUUCUGUAGCAAGGUUAACCGUAUAGGGGAGCCGAAGGGAAACCGAGUCUUAACUGGGCGUUAAGUUGCAGGGUAUAGACCCGAAACCCGGUGAUCUAGCCAUGGGCAGGUUGAAGGUUGGGUAACACUAACUGGAGGACCGAACCGACUAAUGUUGAAAAAUUAGCGGAUGACCUGUGGCUGGGGGUGAAAGGCCAAUCAAACCGGGAGAUAGCUGGUUCUCCCCGAAAGCUAUUUAGGUAGCGCCUCGUGAACUCAUCUUCGGGGGUAGAGCACUGUUUCGGCUAGGGGGCCAUCCCGGCUUACCAACCCGAUGCAAACUACGAAUACCGAAGAAUGUUAUCACGGGAGACACACGGCGGGUGCUAACGUCCGUCGUGAAGAGGGAAACAACCCAGACCGCCAGCUAAGGUCCCAAAGUCAUGGUUAAGUGGGAAACGAUGUGGGAAGGCACAGACAGCCAGGAUGUUGGCUUAGAAGCAGCCAUCAUUUAAAGAAAGCGUAAUAGCUCACUGGUCGAGUCGGCCUGCGCGGAAGAUGUAACGGGGCUAAACCAUGCACCGAAGCUGCGGCAGCGACACUAGUGUUGUUGGGUAGGGGAGCGUUCUGUAAGCCGUUGAAGGUGUGCUGUGAGGCUGGAGGUAUCAGAAGUGCGAAUGCUGACAUAAGUAACGAUAAAGCGGGUGAAAAGCCCGCUCGCCGGAAGACCAAGGGUUCCUGUCCAACGUUAAUCGGGGCAGGGUGAGUCGACCCCUAAGGCGAGGCCGAAAGGCGUAGUCGAUGGGAAACAGGUUAAUAUUCCUGUACUUGGUGUUACUGCGAAGGGGGGACGGAGAAGGCUAUGUCAGCCGGGCGACGGUUGUCCCGGUUUAAGCAUGUAGGCGGAGGUUCCAGGUAAAUCCGGUACCUUAUUAACGCUGAGGUGUGAUGACGAGGCACUACGGUGCUGAAGUGAUAAAUGCCCUGCUUCCAGGAAAAGCCUCUAAGCAUCAGGUAACACGAAAUCGUACCCCAAACCGACACAGGUGGUCAGGUAGAGAAUACCAAGGCGCUUGAGAGAACUCGGGUGAAGGAACUAGGCAAAAUGGUGCCGUAACUUCGGGAGAAGGCACGCUGAUAGGUAGGUGAAGCCCCUGCGGGCGGAGCUGAAAUCAGUCGAAGAUACCAGCUGGCUGCAACUGUUUAUUAAAAACACAGCACUGUGCAAACACGAAAGUGGACGUAUACGGUGUGACGCCUGCCCGGUGCCGGAAGGUUAAUUGAUGGGGUUAGCGGCAACGCGAAGCUCUUGAUCGAAGCCCCGGUAAACGGCGGCCGUAACUAUAACGGUCCUAAGGUAGCGAAAUUCCUUGUCGGGUAAGUUCCGACCUGCACGAAUGGCGUAAUGAUGGCCAGGCUGUCUCCACCCGAGACUCAGUGAAAUUGAACUCGCUGUGAAGAUGCAGUGUACCCGCGGCAAGACGGAAAGACCCCGUGAACCUUUACUAUAGCUUGACACUGAACACUGGUCCUUGAUGUGUAGGAUAGGUGGGAGGCUUUGAAGCGUGGACGCCAGUCUGCGUGGAGCCAACCUUGAAAUACCACCCUUUAAUGGCUGGUGUUCUAACGUAGACCCGUAAUCCGGGUUGCGGACAGUGUCUGGUGGGUAGUUUGACUGGGGCGGUCUCCUCCCAAAGAGUAACGGAGGAGCACGAAGGUUGGCUAAUCCUGGUCGGACAUCAGGAGGUUAGUGCAAUGGCAUAAGCCAGCUUGACUGCGAGCGUGACGGCGCGAGCAGGUGCGAAAGCAGGUCAUAGUGAUCCGGUGGUUCUGAAUGGAAGGGCCAUCGCUCAACGGAUAAAAGGUACUCCGGGGAUAACAGGCUGAUACCGCCCAAGAGUUCAUAUCGACGGCGGUGUUUGGCACCUCGAUGUCGGCUCAUCACAUCCUGGGGCUGAAGUAGGUCCCAAGGGUAUGGCUGUUCGCCAUUUAAAGUGGUACGCGAGCUGGGUUUAGAACGUCGUGAGACAGUUCGGUCCCUAUCUGCCGUGGGCGCUGGAGAAUUGAGGGGGGCUGCUCCUAGUACGAGAGGACCGGAGUGGACGCAUCACUGGUGUUCGGGUUGUCAUGCCAAUGGCACUGCCCGGUAGCUAAAUGCGGAAGAGAUAAGUGCUGAAAGCAUCUAAGCACGAAACUUGCCCCGAGAUGAGUUCUCCCUGAGACUUUAAGUCUCCUGAAGGAACGUUGAAGACGACGACGUUGAUAGGUCGGGUGUGUAAGCGCAGCGAUGCGUUGAGCUAACCGAUACUAAUGAACCGUGAGGCUUAACCUU